GGGGUUGUGGCUCAAUGGUAGAGCGCUCACCUAGCAUGUGCAAGGCCCUGGGUUCGAUCCUCAGCACCA
rnacentral:tRNA from 1 species